rnacentral:rRNA from 1 species
GCGGCGGACGGGUGAGUAACACGUGGGUAACCUGCCUGUAAGACUGGGAUAACUCCGGGAAACCGGAGCUAAUACCGGAUAGUUCCUUGAACCGCAUGGUUCAAGGAUGAAAGACGGUUUCGGCUGUCACUUACAGAUGGACCCGCGGCGCAUUAGCUAGUUGGUGAGGUAACGGCUCACCAAGGCGACGAUGCGUAGCCGACCUGAGAGGGUGAUCGGCCACACUGGGACUGAGACACGGCCCAGACUCCUACGGGAGGCAGCAGUAGGGAAUCUUCCGCAAUGGACGAAAGUCUGACGGAGCAACGCCGCGUGAGUGAUGAAGGUUUUCGGAUCGUAAAGCUCUGUUGUUAGGGAAGAACAAGUGCAAGAGUAACUGCUUGCACCUUGACGGUACCUAACCAGAAAGCCACGGCUAACUACGUGCCAGCAGCCGCGGUAAUACGUAGGUGGCAAGCGUUGUCCGGAAUUAUUGGGCGUAAAGGGCUCGCAGGCGGUUUCUUAAGUCUGAUGUGAAAGCCCCCGGCUCAACCGGGGAGGGUCAUUGGAAACUGGGAAACUUGAGUGCAGAAGAGGAGAGUGGAAUUCCACGUGUAGCGGUGAAAUGCGUAGAGAUGUGGAGGAACACCAGUGGCGAAGGCGACUCUCUGGUCUGUAACUGACGCUGAGGAGCGAAAGCGUGGGGAGCGAACAGGAUUAGAUACCCUGGUAGUCCACGCCGUAAACGAUGAGUGCUAAGUGUUAGGGGGUUUCCGCCCCUUAGUGCUGCAGCUAACGCAUUAAGCACUCCGCCUGGGGAGUACGGUCGCAAGACUGAAACUCAAAGGAAUUGACGGGGGCCCGCACAAGCGGUGGAGCAUGUGGUUUAAUUCGAAGCAACGCGAAGAACCUUACCAGGUCUUGACAUCCUCUGACAACCCUAGAGAUAGGGCUUUCCCUUCGGGGACAGAGUGACAGGUGGUGCAUGGUUGUCGUCAGCUCGUGUCGUGAGAUGUUGGGUUAAGUCCCGCAACGAGCGCAACCCUUGAUCUUAGUUGCCAGCAUUCAGUUGGGCACUCUAAGGUGACUGCCGGUGACAAACCGGAGGAAGGUGGGGAUGACGUCAAAUCAUCAUGCCCCUUAUGACCUGGGCUACACACGUGCUACAAUGGACAGAACAAAGGGCUGCGAGACCGCAAGGUUUAGCCAAUCCCACAAAUCUGUUCUCAGUUCGGAUCGCAGUCUGCAACUCGACUGCGUGAAGCUGGAAUCGCUAGUAAUCGC